GCCCACUACCACUGGAUAGGAAGACAGGUGAUCAAGUGAUAUCUACAGUAACUGUAGCAGGUUUCACCACAAGGAUUCUGUUGCGCUUGAAACCUUAUCCUUUCUGGGUGAUGUCAAGGCUCCGCAGAGCAUACUCAGAAGAACAUCGUAAAGUUGCCUGUUCCUUCUUUUGGAAGUAGACUCUCUUUUUCUCCUGGAGCCUGAGAAGAAGUUCCCUGUUCUUCAUAGAAUCAUAGAAUGGCCUGGAUUGAAAAGGACCAUAAUGAUCAUCGAGUUUCAUCCCGGUCUUCUUCUCCGCUGCCUCAUCUUCUGGCACAGGGGGACAGCCUGCUUCUGCACCUUUAAGACUUACUUCUUGAGUGUCCAGCCUUUCUGUAUCCCUUUGCCCUUCAGGAGUGAACCUCAAGAGACCCUCCCUACCAGUGUUGUGAGUAGUUCAAAGUCUGCCCUUCGGAAGUCCAAUGUGGCAGUUUUGCUGGCCCUGCUCCUAACUUCACCAAGCAUAGAGAACUCUACCAUUUUGUGGCCGCCCUUCCCAAGACUGCUCCUGGCCUCUACAACUUUCACCAGUCCUUCUCUGUACACAAACAAUCUUUUCGACAGCCUUGUUUCUUUGCUUUGCUGUUUUGAGUGCUUUAUUUUUGAGUGAUUUAUGUAUAUUCUGCUACUUUUCUGUAUGUUGUUGAUUUCUUAUUUAUCUUUCAUAUUGGUUGCUGUAUAUUCGUACAGGUUUGGGAUAUGGGAUCACAGAUAUAGUCUAAUGGUAAUACUGAGUAUGAAUUCUUGGUUGUACUAAUUGCUUUUUCAAAAAAGAAGUCUUUUUCCACAAACUUGCAGGUCUUAGCUAGAUCUCAUGAUAAGAGUUGUC
rnacentral:lncRNA from 1 species